rfam:Triticum aestivum genome assembly, contig: Triticum_aestivum_CS42_TGACv1_scaffold_320267_4BL
UUAGUACUCCCUCCGUCCGGAAAUACUUGUCGGAGAAAUGUAUGUAUCUAGACAUAUUUUAGUUAUAGAUACAUCCAGUUUUAUCCACCUCCACGACAAGUAUUUCGGGGCGGAGGGAGUACAUA